rnacentral:rRNA from 1 species
AACGAACGCUGGCGGCAUGCCUAACACAUGCAAGUCGAACGAGCCCUUCGGCUCUAGUGGCGCUCGGGUGCGUAACGCGAGUUAACCUCCCCUUAGGUUCGCAAUAACUCCCCGACAGGUGUGCUAAUACCGCUUAAUGUCUCCAGACCAAAGACCUAUCGCCUUUGGAUGGGCCCGCGUUGGAUUAGCUAGUUGGUAGGGUAAAAGCCUACCAAGGCGACGAUCCAUAGCUGGUCUGAGAGGAUGAUCAGCCACACUGGGACUGAGACACGGCCCAGACUCCUACGGGAGGCAGCAGUGGGGAAUAUUGGACAAUGGGCGAAGGCCUGAGCCAGCAAGGCCGCGUGAGUGAUGAAGGCCUUAGGGUUGUAAGGCUCUUUUACCCGGGAUGAUAAUGACAGUACCGGGAGAAGAAGCUCCGGCUAACUCCGUG